CUGUGUUGUCGGUCGGCGGGGAUAGUGGCGACGGGUGAGUAACACGUGGGCAAUCUGCCCUGCACUCUGGGACAAGCCCUGGAAACGGGGUCUAAUACCGGAUAUGACCACCGGCCGCAUGGUCUGGUGGUGGAAAGCUCCGGCGGUGCAGGAUGAGCCCGCGGCCUAUCAGCUUGUUGGUGGGGUGAUGGCCUACCAAGGCGACGACGGGUAGCCGGCCUGAGAGGGCGACCGGCCACACUGGGACUGAGACACGGCCCAGACUCCUACGGGAGGCAGCAGUGGGGAAUAUUGCACAAUGGGCGCAAGCCUGAUGCAGCGACGCCGCGUGAGGGAUGACGGCCUUCGGGUUGUAAACCUCUUUCAGCAGGGAAGAAGCGCAAGUGACGGUACCUGCAGAAGAAGCACCGGCUAACUACGUGCCAGCAGCCGCGGUAAUACGUAGGGUGCGAGCGUUGUCCGGAAUUAUUGGGCGUAAAGAGCUCGUAGGCGGCCUGUCGCGUCGGAUGUGAAAGCCCGGGGCUUAACCCCGGGUCUGCAUUCGAUACGGGCAGGCUAGAGUUCGGCAGGGGAGAUUGGAAUUCCUGGUGUAGCGGUGAAAUGCGCAGAUAUCAGGAGGAACACCGGUGGCGAAGGCGGAUCUCUGGGCCGAUACUGACGCUGAGGAGCGAAAGCGUGGGGAGCGAACAGGAUUAGAUACCCUGGGUAGUCCACGCCGUAAACGUUGGGCACUAGGUGUGGGGCGGCAUUCCACGUCGUCCGUGCCGCAGCUAACGCAUUAAGUGCCCCGCCUGGGGAGUACGGCCGCAAGGCUAAAACUUCAGGGGAAUUUGACCGGGGGCCUCGCACCAGGCGGCGGAUCCAUGUGUGGCUUAAUUCGGACGGC
rnacentral:rRNA from 1 species